rnacentral:rRNA from 1 species
AUUGAACGCUGGCGGAAUGCUUUACACAUGCAAGUCGAACGGUAGAGGGGGCAACCCCUCGAGAGUGGCGAACGGGUGAGUAAUAUAUCGGAACGUGCCCAGUCGUGGGGGAUAACGUAGCGAAAGUUACGCUAAUACCGCAUAUGAACUAAGGAUGAAAGCGGGGGAUCGCAAGACCUCGCGCGAUUGGAGCGGCCGAUAUCAGAUUAGGUAGUUGGUGGGGUAAAGGCUCACCAAGCCAACGAUCUGUAGCUGGUCUGAGAGGACGACCAGCCACACUGGAACUGAGACACGGUCCAGACUCCUACGGGAGGCAGCAGUGGGGAAUUUUGGACAAUGGACGCAAGUCUGAUCCAGCCAUUCCGCGUGCAGGAUGAAGGCCCUCGGGUUGUAAACUGCUUUUGUACGGAACGAAAAGGUCUCUCUUAAUACGGGGGACUCAUGACGGUACCGUAAGAAUAAGCACCGGCUAACUACGUGCCAGCCGCCGCAGUAA